rnacentral:rRNA from 1 species
GACAGAGGGGGCAAGCGUUGCUCGGAAUUACUGGGCGUAAAGGGCGCGUAGGCGGGAUGGCAAGUCGGUCGUGAAAUCCCUCGGCUCAACUGAGGAUCGUCGAUCGAUACUGCCGUUCUUGAGGAUUGCAGAGGAGACUGGAAUUCCAGGUGUAGCGGUGAAAUGCGUAGAUAUCUGGAGGAAUACCGGUGGCGAAGGCGGCAUCCUGGACCGACAUUGACGCUGAUGAGCGAAAGCCAGGGGAGCAAACGGG